AGAUGUGACCAAAGACAAAGAAAAGAACAUUUGCAUGCCAGGCAAACAAAGCCAUCGGGAGGGCAAGUGGGGGAAAAGUAAUCAUUUAUAGAGCCCUGCACACAUACAAAAUUUGUAACCGCAUCCAAUCCGCAAACAUGGUCUGCGGAUAGCUGCAGAUUUGCAGGGCUGUAAUCAUUUAACAAUCUCAAGGGGGUGGAGGGAGGAGGAAGACUGCACCCCCAGGAAAUCUUCCUACCUUUUGAGACAGGGUCAAUGAACUUUGAGAGAGAGACUUUUAAAGGUUUACUGGACUAUACAGACAGCAGCAGAGAACCCUUAAGUUAUCCUUCACCCGAGGAGUUAAGAAAAACCAGCAUCUUGGGCUCUGUGGGGAUCCUGACUAAGAGCCAGUCAGCCAUUGCUGGAAAAGGAAGACUGGUCAGAGGCAGGAAGCGGGAGCCGGGCAGUGCAGGGCAGCUGCUGCUCUGGCUGGUGCCAUGGAACAGGCAGCUGCAGUGUUCCCUCCUCUCCUACUGGUGCCCCAGACUGAAGCGGCUCCUCAGCUCCCAGCUCUCAUAUUGCCCUGAAAGAGCACCACAUAAGAGAUAAGAGCCUGUUACUCAAUUAUCUUCUCAGAGAUUCUCUGCACGGCUGGAGAAGGAAGGAUGCAUGUAACCCUAUCGACUGCCCCUGCCUGGCAGGUAUCCAUCCCUUCCACCCUACUGCAGACCCCUAAUCUGCAGAGGGGUCCUUUUGAGGUCAUGAGUGCAGGGAAGAAACAGUGCCAUGAUCAUGGCUGUGCUCAAUUAAAAGGAGGAGGGCCAAAUUUGUACAUGAAUCUCUGGUACAGGAAAGAAAAAGGAAGGGAGCAGAAUAUAGGCCACUCUUUCCCCCCCCCGUAUACACAUACAGUCAUGGUUAUUGUACAUUUAUUUAACAGAGCAAACUCGAGACUCAGUAAUUAAUAAUAGAAUCUCUUGAAUAAUGGAAAGGGCAAUUUUCAGUGAAGUUACUUUCCUGAUCCUUUUUUUCCCCUCAACAAAAAGCAGAAGGAGCUGUAAACAAAUUCAGGGAUAUUUCCCAUCAAAUUGCAGCUUUUUCUUUUGGGGUUAUAAAUUACUAUUUUCUUAAUAGUUCCUGCUAUUUUGCUCAUUUAUUACCUUCCAUUGGAUCUCAGGAAAUAGCCAUACUUUUUAGAAAAAUUAAGUGAAUCUAUUUAAAAGAUUCACUGUGCUCCUCUAAAAAGUUUUAUUCAGUCUUCACUUCCUUUUCUUGUGGGUAAACUCAGUGAAAAACUAGUAAUAGUUUUCAAAUCAGGUUUAUUUAAAGGUAGGGGUUUUGUUUGUUUCACUUAACUCAAACUCCUGACAAAUACUUGAGGAAGAAAUCAUCUUUGUGAAAAAUUCAACACUCCUCCCCUUCUACUGAUGGGGUCCUUAAGAAAUCUCUCCAGCAAAAGCAGAAAAGUCAAACUUUUGACAUUUUUAAAGUUUAUAACAAAAAACAAAAAACAAAAACUUGUUUGAAAAUACAUGAAGCUCUCUUUAUACAUCAUACAAGAGCAGGAAAGGGCAUGAGCUAUAAAAAGUGUUUGCCUAUGCCAUUCACCUUCAAGAAUUUUGGUUGCUGUUUUAACUAUUAAUUGUCUAGCUGACCAGCUUCGAAAGACUAGCCUUUCUUUAAUCAAAGAAGGAACAAGUUUUUCUGAUGUCUAAAUAUAGAGGAAUGUACUCCUAAAAGGAGCCUAACCUAUGUUUUCAAGACAUGCAAAUAAAUCUAUUAAUUUCAACUAAGAUCUGAGUCUACAGACUAAACUAGAGAGAAGAAUGUUGCUAAUUCUUACUAUCGACAGGGUGAUCCAUUACAGAUUAUGUACAGUGGAAAGUAAUGUUUUUAAAAACAAAGGAUACUGCACUUACUUUGAUAAGCGGGUUUUUUUUACAUUUAUAAUACUCCACAGAACACUAAAGCUGUACUGUAGCAUCUCCUAAAGGUAAUUAAAUCUUAAUGAAACCUAA